UCCGCUUCACCGCCGUGCCGGAAGUUGAUUGCGGCUGCUUGGUUGGCCCUGUUGUUGCCGGUCUUCGGCAGUCCCGGCCCGGCAUCAUGAAGGCCAUCAUCCAGCGCGUCACCCGGGCUAGCGUGACCGCUGAGCCCUCAGCACUGAAAAUAGAUUCCAGAACUGAGUCCAUGGUGAUCCUUGACUCAGAGGAAGCCCUGUCAUUCUUAGGUUGAAAAUCCCGUCCUAGUGAGUGGAGACUGAAGCAUCCAGCUAUGACUGAAGGCUUCCUCUGUGCUCACUGGUUGUAAUGAAGGAGCAAGGCCAGUGCAUUUUUUCUUCUCUUCUCUUCUCUACAGUUUCAGAGGAGCAAAUAAGUUCAAUCGGACGAGGUAUUUGUGUGCUACUGGGUAUCUCUGUGGAAGACACUCAAAAAGAGCUUGAACACAUGGUUCGAAAGAUUUUAAAUCUGCGUAUGUUUGAAGAUGAAAGUGGGAAGCAGUGGUCAAAGAGUGUAAUGGACAAGCAGUAUGAGGUGCUGUGUGUCAGCCAGUUCACCCUUCAGUGUAUUCUGAAAGGAAACAAGCCCGACUAUCACAUGGCCAUGCCUACAGAACAAGCAGAAGCUUUCUAUAACAGCUUCCUGGAACAGCUUCGCAAAACGUACAAGCCAGAGCUAAUCAAAGAUGGCAAAUUUGGUGCAUACAUGCAAGUAAAUAUCCAGAAUGAUGGGCCUGUGACCAUAGAACUGGAAUCUCCUGCAGCCCCCACUGACUCUAAGCAGCUGGCAAAACUUGAGAAACAACAACAGAGGAAAGAGAAAACCAGAAUGAAGGUGCCCUCUGAAUCAAGCAGAGAAAAGAAUGUUCCUAGAAGUAAAAACGAUCCCAGUGCGAGCAGCGGGGCUGAGGGAGAUGUGUCUUCAGAAAGGGAACCUUAGCUUAUCAAAAGUGGGUACAGACCUUCACCAUUCCUCUGUGAAAUAGGGCAAGGCAAGCAGAACUGUGACAAACUAUACCCAAUUUGGGUGUGUGAAUAAGCUCUAUCUUUGUUUCUCUUUCAGCUUUUUAGCACUGAUUAUGGUUUCUUUCAACAUCUGAAUUGGCAAAUUGUGGUUAGCACUUGCCCUUAUACCAGAAUCACACCGGGGUUCUGAUUCUGACUUGAAGAAAAGUGAUAAUUGCAGUUUUCCAACUGGUCAGUGCUAAAGAAGAUGAUGAAAGGAAAGUAAUACAAAAAGGGAGAGCUCACGAGCCUGGUGUUCAUUUCCAGUCAUGGCAUGAGGAUCAUCUGGAUUGAUAUAUAAGAAAAGCGGUAUAAGAAGCUGCUGGUGACCCAUUAGUGGAUGUGCAAUUCUAUAUGAAAGAUUUGAAGCAGAAAGGGAAAUUGUAACAGAGAAGUAAGAAGUUAACAAUCUGCACCAUGCUGUAUUCAAAAACAACCAAAGGAAUGUUAUCUGUGUCCAUUGCUAAUAUGUUUAAAAGUGAGGUGGUAAAUACCAUUUUUCUAUUUCUUUGAAUUAGUUCUUACAAUACUGUUGCAGUGUGGUUGCCAUUUCUUGAUGGUUGGGACUCCGUUUGGUGAGAAGUCACCAUGUCAUCUUCCCAUCCCAAAUGGGUCCUAGCAGAGAUUUACCAAUGUGCCCGCCAUGGCAAGUGUCCCUCCAUUUCCUCCAUCUGGUGAGCAUGAUAAGCCUCAGCCAUCCUCCUGAGCUUGGAGCUGGAGCCCUCUACCUGCUGGCCUAAGGGGUUCAUUCCUGCGGUUGCACUGCUUUGUGGAGGUACUCCCAGUGCCUUAGAAGUGCAUUGCAGCUGGGAGGAUGAUGACCUAGCUCCAAACUAGGAGCAGGCUGGUGCUCAUCUGUAGUGUUCUGCUCUUCAGAGAUGCACCAAGUGAGUCAGAAGCACAGAGUGAUGUGAUCCAACCUGCUCCUGAGUCUGGAGAUGAGGACAGGAGCAGGGGAUUGUUGCUGACCUUGCACUGCAUUCAGUGGCGCUUGAAGCUCAACAUGUCUGGAGCUCAACACGAUGUCUGACAAAUCCCUGCCAUGCUGCCAUUGGGGGAUGGGGAAGGGUCUGGUCCUGGCAAACACAAAUGUCGGUUGACUCUAAAGCUAGCCAGAAUUUGUAGAUCCCCAGAUCCAGACAUUCCAGGGUGGUGAUGGGGCCUAACCAUUGUACAUGAGAACUGUGCCACAACUGUUAUAUAAGUAUGUCUGGUUUCAUACAGGCCACUCUUGUUUUGACUCUGGUGGCAUGGGAGGUGGCAUUCUGUACCACUGGGGUAAGGUGAGGAGAGGCCCAGGCCACCCGAGAGUUAUGUGCGCUGCAGCUCCUUCACACUCCUCCUAGGAAUUGGAGCAGUGCUGGUAUGGAGAGGAGCUGCUGCAUUGAUUCCUGCUAUGUGGCAUGAGCCUUCCUGCAUUGCUCUGGCGACAGGGUGUUGUAUUGGCUCCCAAACCACCAGCAUAAUGUAAGAAGGGAGCCACGGUGAUUGAAGAAUGGUUGUUUUUUUAUGCAGGUUGUAGCAGCAUUAUUGUAACGGAUCAUAUGAUCCAUUUUGAUAAAACUGAAUUUUCCUUACGUUUUCACUUGAACUCUAAAGAGCAAGCUUAUAUUAUGAUUCUGUUGGUGUUAAGUCAUCAGUGUCUCUUUUCACAGCACUGUACAAAAUGUGCACAUUUACUGUGUGUUGUGUCUGUGUGUGUGUGGCUGUAUAAUCUUUGUGGAAAAUAAUGAUUUAAACAAGGCUGAUCUUCCAGUUAUUUAUCUGGAGGGUGUGUGUGUGAAACUUUUUUCAGAAGGGGAAAAACUUUAUUAAUAAAGUAUGCCACCUGAGUA